UCCAUUUUCCUAUUAUCAUCAUCGUCGUUGGGAUUAUAGUUUUUCAGGCAUUAUUUGUGGUGUUUGUUGUGGUGGCAGUUCAAAACGAUUUCACACCCCAACCCCAAGCGGGCGGCCGGGUUGGACUCAAUUAAUUGUGUGGAGAAUUGGGGAUAGGAUAAUUACAGUUAUUGAUGUGCCGCUGCUACGACAAGGUGCCACGCCACGCACAGUGCGGGCAGUGUUUGUUUCGUCUUUCUAUUUAGCAUCGCUUUGUGUUGUUCUAUUUGAAUAAUUUAUGACCGAAAUAAAUUGCAUAAAAUCAGAAACGGCGACAACAACGACGACGUAAAGGGGGAAAACUGUGCUAGCACGAAAAGCAGCAAAGAAAACGCCGUUGGAUAGUAGUGAAGUGAAUUUUCUGUGUUCGCUGGUGAACCAACCAAGUGAGUGAGUGAUUCUACUGCCUACGGUGCUGCCUGCGGUGGUGAAAUUCACUAGAAGCCAAAAAAAAAGGGAACGCAACGCACCGAAACCAAGGCAACGCGACAAACGGACGGACAACAACAUGUGUCAAGAUCGAGUAAUUAAGCUGCUGAUAUUCGGCUUUAUCGCCGGACUGUUGCUGCAGGAAUGUAAGUGGCUUGUUUGAAACUACGUCGAGUAUUUUGUUUAUGGCUCAAAGAAACUGAAAAUAGCGUAGCUGAGGGUAAUG